rnacentral:rRNA from 1 species
CACGGGGGGAGCAAGCGUUGUUCGGAAUCACUGGGCGUAAAGGGUGUCUAGGCGGUCAGGUAAGUGAGAUGUGAAAUGCCCCGGCUUACCCGGGGACCUGCAUCUCAUACUGUCUAGCUUGAGUAUGGGAGAGGAUGAGGGAAUUCCUGGUGUAGCGGUGAAAUGCGUAGAUAUCAGGAGGAACACCGGUGGCGAAAGCGCUCAUCUGGCCCAAUACUGACGCUGAAGCACGAAAGCUAGGGGAGCAAACGGG